UACGGGGGGGGCAAGCGUUGUUCGGAAUUACUGGGCGUAAAGGGCUCGUAGGCGGCCAACUAAGUCAGACGUGAAAUCCCUCAGCUUAACUGGGGAACUGCGUCUGAUACUGGAUGGCUUGGAUUCGGGAGAGGAAUGCGGAAUUCCAGGUGUAGCGGUGAAAUGCGUAGAUAUCAGAAGGAACAUCAGUGGCGAAAGCGGCUUCCUGGACCAGAACUGACGAUCAGGCUCGAAAGCGUGGGGAGCAAACAGG
rnacentral:rRNA from 1 species